AACGCUAGCUACAGGCUUAACACAUGCAAGUCGAGGGGCAGCAUAAAAGUAGCAAUACUUUGGUGGCGACCGGCGCACGGGUGAGUAACGCGUAUGCAACCUACCUAUCAGAGGGGGAUAACCCGGCGAAAGUCGGACUAAUACCGCAUAAAACAGGGGCACCGCAUGGUGAUAUUUGUUAAAAAUUUAUUGCUGAUAGAUGGGCAUGCGUUCCAUUAGGUAGUUGGAGAGGUAACGGCUCACCAAGCCCACGAUGGAUAGGGGAACUGAGAGGCUGGUCCCCCACACUGGUACUGAGACGCGGACCAGACUCCUACGGGAGGCAGCAGUGAGGAAUAUUGGUCAAUGGGCGAGAGCCUGAACCAGCCGAGUCGCGUGAAGGAAGAAGGAUCUAUGGUUCGUAAACUUCUUUUGCAGGGGAAUAAAGUGCAGGACGUGUCCUGUUUUGUAUGUACCCUGAGAAUAAGGAUCGGCUAACUCCGUGCCAGCAGCCGCGGUAAUACGGAGGAUCCGAGCGUUAUCCGGAUUUAUUGGGUUUAAAGGGUGCGUAGGUGGUUUAAUAAGUCAGCGGUGAAAGUUUGCAGCUUAACUGUAAAAAUGCCGUUGAAACUGUUAGACUUGAGUGUAAAUGAGGUAGGCGGAAUGCGUGGUGUAGCGGUGAAAUGCUUAGAUAUCACGAAGAACUCCGAUUG
rnacentral:rRNA from 1 species